AUUAUACCGUGAAACUGCGAAUGGCUCAUUAAAUCAGUUAUCGUUUAUUUGAUAGUACCUUACUACUUGGAUAACCGUGGUAAUUCUAGAGCUAAUACAUGCUGAAAACCCCAACUUCGGGAGGGGUGUAUUUAUUAGAUAAAAAACCAACGCCCNUUCGGGGCUUCUUGGUGAUUCAUGAUAACUUCACGGAUCGCAUGGCCUUGCGCCGGCGACGGUUCAUUCAAAUUUCUGCCCUAUCAACUUUCGAUGGUAAGGUAUUGGCUUACCAUGGUUUCAACGGGUAACGGGGAAUUAGGGUUCGAUUCCGGAGAGGGAGCCUGAGAAACGGCUACCACAUCCAAGGAAGGCAGCAGGCGCGCAAAUUACCCAAUCCCGACACGGGGAGGUAGUGACAAUAAAUACUGAUACAGGGCUCUUUUGGGUCUUGUAAUUGGAAUGAGUACAAUUUAAACCUCUUAACGAGGAACAAUUGGAGGGCAAGUCUGGUGCCAGCAGCCGCGGUAAUUCCAGCUCCAAUAGCGUAUAUUAAAGUUGUUGCAGUUAAAAAGCUCGUAGUUGAAACUUGGGCCUGGCUGGCAGGUCCGCCUCACCGCGUGUACUUGUCCGGCCGGGCCUUUCCUUCUGGAGAACCUCAUGCCCUUCACUGGGUGUGUUGGGGAACCAGGACUUUUACUUUGAAAAAAUUAGAGUGUUCAAAGCAGGCCUUUGCUCGAAUACGUUAGCAUGGAAUAAUAGAAUAGGACGUGCGGUCCUAUUUUGUUGGUUUCUAGGACCGCCGUAAUGAUUAAUAGGGACAGUCGGGGGCAUCAGUAUUCAAUUGUCAGAGGUGAAAUUCUUGGAUUUAUUGAAGACUAACUACUGCGAAAGCAUUUGCCAAGGAUGUUUUCAUUAAUCAGUGAACGAAAGUUAGGGGAUCGAAGACGAUCAGAUACCGUCGUAGUCUUAACCGUAAACUAUGCCGACUAGGGAUCGGGCGAUGUUCUUUUUCUGACUCGCUCGGCACCUUACGAGAAAUCAAAGU
rnacentral:rRNA from 1 species